AUUUCAGAAAACGCCGCCUGGCGCUACAGCGAGUUCUGAUUCUUGACGUCUCCCGCCUGUCCGCACAUCACCCAGCCAGAGAUGACCCUUUCGGAAGAAUCACGUUAAGAAUAAAAGCGCCGGAAAACGACUAUUCACGCUUGGAUUUGGACUAGAAUUCCAACUACUGGCUCUUCUGCUUCUUGGACUGAACUACACCAUCAGCUCUCCUGGGUCUCCAGCUUGCUGACUACAGAUCUUGGAAUUUCUCAGUUUUCUAUAAUGACAUGAACCAAUUCCUAAUUCUUCCUAGUAAUAAUAAAUAUGUGUGUGUUUA